rnacentral:rRNA from 1 species
GGCCUACGGGAGGCAGCAGUGGGGAAUAUUGGACAAUGGGGGCAACCCUGAUCCAGCCAUGCCGCGUGUGUGAAGAAGGCUUUCGGGUUGUAAAGCACUUUCAGUGAGGAGGAAAACCUUACGACUAAUACUCGUGAGGCUUGACGUUACUCACAGAAGAAGCACCGGCUAACUCCGUGCCAGCAGCCGCGGUAAU